rnacentral:rRNA from 1 species
ACGGGUGAGUAACACGUAUGCAAUCCACCCUAGUAACAGGGGGAGUAACCCGGAGAAAUCCGGACUAAUACCCCAUAAUAUGGGCGCUCCGCAUGGAGAGUCCAUUAAAGAGAGCAAUCUUGGUUACAGACGAGCAUGCGCUCCAUUAGCCAGUUGGCGGGGUAACGGCCCACCAAGGCGACGAUGGAUAGGGGUUCUGAGAGGAAGGUCCCCCACAUUGGAACUGAGACACGGUCCAA